AGUACACGUUGACAUUUCUUUUGCAAGAUUCUCAUAUGGCAGAUUGUUUUAAAAUUCUUUUAAAACAAAAAAUUGUACAAAAAAAAUUUUAUAAAUACAAUUCGACGAAUUAAAAAUUGAAACCACGCUCACAUUUGCAUCCUUAAUAAAUCGUUAAAUGAACAAUUUAUUAUUGUUCAAUGAUAUGUAAUUAAAUAUAUCAAGAUAUGAAUUCUGAAAAUAUAAAUUUUGAAAAAAAGAAAGACUUGUAAUUGAAGAAGCAAAUUUUAUAGCUACGCUACUGAACAUGACGUCAUUCGACAAAAGCCAUUCGAACUGAGCAGGCGUAUAACCUAUCAGCUCGCAACAUUCGAGUGAUUGUUCAGCAUGUGAUCUUGUCAUUAUUUCGUUGUGAUUAUUACUUCUGAUGGUAACAACUAACAAUUUUUAAAUAAAGUUUGUAUACCGUUCCACGUUUAUUACGAAAGAAGCAUUAAGGCGUGUCAUUGAAGAAACAAACUCUGUGAUAGAUUAAUGAGUUUUAACAAUAACAGAGCAAAGGACGAAGAAUUCUGAUAUCGUCACUGUAAUCGGAGUCAUCUGCUCAAAAUGAUGAAUUUUGAAGAAGAAAAAGGAUCCACGAGAUCCUCGUCAUCACGAAAUAUUUGUUGCUGUCUCGCAACAGCUAGAUAUAACAAUUCAAAUGUAUACAGAUAUUGCGUAGACGUAGACGAUCCGGUCUGAGUGUACUAUCAACUGAAGUAAACAGAGGACAUGGAUGAAUUAGAAAAUCAAGAUUGUCGCGAAUUGAUUCACUGUAGAUACGACAAUAAUAAUAAUAACAAUAAUAAUAAUAGUAAUAAUAGUAAUAACAACAGGUUAACGGAAUAUCUUAAUUUGGAUAAUCGUGUAGAUGAUCCACUUCGAGAACCGGAAGUAACUAUGAAUUUAACUGAGGAUUCUGCUCAAUUACCACUUCAACCAUUGGAAGAACCAGAAGAGGAUUUAUUUGACUAUGAAAUUGAUACUUCAUAUCAAGAUGUGAAUACAGAAUCCGAGGAGCAAGUGGUACCAUCCAGUCAACUAAGUAAUAGUUAUAAAUAUCCUGAUGAGCUUACCAUUUCUGAUGAUGAGGUAGAUGAAGGCAUAUUUGAAGAUGAACAAGCAUCUCAUUUAGUAUUGCUAGAUGACAAUAACAGAUAUAACUCUCAACCUCCGUGAAUAUCUACUUGAUUGGUAGUUGACAUGUUUGUAGAGUAGCACUUUGUGCUAAUUCGCUACCAAUAUUAUUCAGUUUUCCAUCCAUCAGUCAAAUUUGCAGAAAAUAUAUAAAAAAAAUGUGGUAGUAACAUUAGAACUUGAUUGCUGUUUUUAUAUAAGAAAAAAACAUUCCGAGUGGCUUUUUAAUUCAUAGCCAUUGUGAUUCUUGCUAUCGAACUUGGAACAGAAAUAAUUCAUAGGUUGUUCAUAUUUGGUAUUAUAUUUCGUCAAAAGCUACUUUUUCUGUCAUCCAACGCGCAAACGAGUGAAGUCACAAUGUCAGACGCUAGAAUUACUUUCAGACUUGUGUUUGAAAAUGAAAUCGAAUCACGUCGAAUCGAAUUUCGAAGAGUUUUUUUCUUCACCAUUAGUUUGAGUGCCUGGAAAUAAUUUAUGGAACUGCAAGAAAUAUUAUUUUACUGUUGAUUUUAAAUAGAAGCUGUUAUAAAAUUUUUGUCAAUGAGAUGACGACGUAAGAAGGAAUUGAUUUGUGAUUUUGUCUAAGGGUAACUAUUUUGAUAUUCUAAUAUACUUUAAAGAUAUUUAAAUCGCAUAAUGCGUGCGAACAUGCGUGCGAACAUGCGUGUAAUAUUUAUGACAUAUUAUUAAUCAUUACGUGUUGCAAUGCAAUCAUAAUUGGUGUGCGACUGUUCGUAUCUGUGCCCUCAUUGCCUUCGAUUAAUUAUCGUAAAAUUUACAUUUUUCUUUCGCCGUAAUUCUACACCAUGGUACACGAUCAAAGAAUGCGGAAGUGAUUGCGAAAUUUCAUGUUAAUGCCAUGCUGAAACAUAAAGAGCCGUCUCUGCAUUUUUCUACAUUUAACAUGAGUUUCGGCCAUUAUUAAGAUCCUAGCGAUUAUAGAAAAUUUUUAAAAAAAUUUUUUAAAACAUUUCUUAAAGUCUUUUAGUCAGAUCAAAGUCGGAUCAACGCUUGUCAUUUCUUUUACAAGUAUUUUAAAAAAUAUACCGUUUAUACUAAUAAUAAAGUAUUUAAUGGUUAGCAAUUAAAGUAUUAUUGAAAUAAAACAUCAUUUGAUUGAAUAUUAAUAAUAAAGUAAUCAUACGAAUGAUAUUAUUCGCGCAAAUAAUAUUUUUACUCGACUGAAUUAAGUCAACGAUAUAAAUUGUAAAUUACUGAGAUAAGAAUCGUGGAUUUUAACAAUCUUCGGAAAUCUUCGAAUCGGGAGCUUAUAAAUAUUUGAUUAUAAAGUGAUUCUGUGGAAUUGUAAA